GAUGAACGCUAGCUACAGGCUUAACACAUGCAAGUCGAGGGGAAACGAUAGAGAAAGCUUGCUUUUUCUAGGCGUCGACCGGCGCACGGGUGAGUAACGCGUAUCCAACCUGCCCACCACUUGGGGAUAACCUUGCGAAAGUAAGACUAAUACCCAAUGAUAUCUCAAGAAGACAUCUGAAUGAGAUUAAAGAUUUAUCGGUGAUGGAUGGGGAUGCGUCUGAUUAGCUUGUUGGCGGGGUAACGGCCCACCAAGGCUACGAUCAGUAGGGGUUCUGAGAGGAAGGUCCCCCACAUUGGAACUGAGACACGGUCCAAACUCCUACGGGAGGCAGCAGUGAGGAAUAUUGGUCAAUGGGCGAGAGCCUGAACCAGCCAAGUAGCGUGCAGGAUGACGGCCCUAUGGGUUGUAAACUGCUUUUAUAAGGGAAUAAAGUGAGUCUCGUGAGACUUUUUGCAUGUACCUUAUGAAUAAGGACCGGCUAAUUCCGUGCCAGCAGCCGCGGUAA
rnacentral:rRNA from 1 species